UUGAGUUUGAUUUUAAAGUCUGAAACAGCAAGCAGCUCAACAGAUUUGUGCUGUGUUUGCUAUUUGAGUUGAAGCUUUACAACAGCAGCUCAAGUGUUAUUUUAAAACAGGUUUGUAUCUGUGUUGGGAGUGUAGUUAUUGGUGUGGAGAAGAAGGUUUCAGCUUAGUCUGUAUUGAGCAUUUUGUCCCAGCAACAGCAAGACUGAAAUAGCAAUCCACAAGUCUUAACAGCAGCCGAGGUACAUCAAAGUACAUUUUGGAAGGUUUUCAAGCAUAGCAAGGAUUGGCUUUGUGGGAUUAAGAUCAAGUCACAGCAGCCCAAGUGAAGCAACUGAUAAGCGAAGCAUACAAGUGGAUAUUUGGAUAGAAUUUCAAGUGUAGAUAGAAUAUUUUUUAGUUCUUCAUCUGUAUUGUAAAGCGUUGCUCUUG